rnacentral:rRNA from 1 species
AUUGAACGCUGGCGGCAGGCCUAACACAUGCAAGUCGAACGAGUGGCGGACGGGUGAGUAAUGUCUGGGAAACUGCCUGAUGGAGGGGGAUAACUACUGGAAACGGUAGCUAAUACCGCAUACCAUCAGAUGUGCCCAGAUGGGAUUAGCUUGUUGGUGGGGUAACGGCUCACCAAGGCGACGAUCCCUAGCUGGUCUGAGAGGAUGACAUGCCACACUGAAACUGAGAAACGGACCAAACUCCUACGGGAGGCAGCGGUGGGGAAUAUUGCACGAUGGGCGCAAGCCUGAUGCAGCCAUGCCGCGUGUAUUAAGAAGGCCUUCGGGUUGUAAAGUACUUUUAGCGGGGAGGCGUUACCCGCAGAAGAAGCACCGGCUAACUCCGUGCCAGCCGCCGCGUAAUUC